AAAAAUACCCAGCAUAGAGAUACUGUGACCAAAAGUCUUACCCAUUGCACUCUGGAUGUGCUGACCCUUGCAAUUUCCCCAAAUGUGGGAAAUUCAACUGCAUAAUUUGUGGUAGUGGGGGCUGCAUUUGCACUCUCCCC
rnacentral:snRNA from 1 species